UACGUAGGGUGCAAGCGUUAAUCGGAAUUACUGGGCGUAAAGCGUGCGCAGGCGUCUUGCAAGACAGAUGUGAAAUCCCCGGGCUCAACCUGGGAACUGCAUUUGUGACUGCAAGGCUGGAGUGCGGCAGAGGGGGAUGGAAUUCCGCGUGUAGCAGUGAAAUGCGUAGAUAUGCGGAGGAACACCGAUGGCGAAGGCAAUCCCCUGGGCCUGCACUGACGCUCAUGCACGAAAGCGUGGGGAGCAAACAGG
rnacentral:rRNA from 1 species